rnacentral:rRNA from 1 species
UUUGAUGGCGACCGGCGCACGGGUGAGUAACACGUAUCCAACCUGCCGAUGACUCGGGGAUAGCCUUUCGAAAGAAAGAUUAAUACCCGAUGGCAUAGUUCUUCCGCAUGGUAGAACUAUUAAAGAAUUUCGGUCAUCGAUGGGGAUGCGUUCCAUUAGGUUGUUGGCGGGGUAACGGCCCACCAAGCCUUUGAUGGAUAGGGGUUCUGAGAGGAAGGUCCCCCACAUUGGAACUGAGACACGGUCCAA